UUAUGACAACUACAAUAACGGAGGACAAUUUUGAGUAAUAACACAAAAGUCUGGGACAAGUUUAGGACACCAAAGUCGUUUAGGACAAAAUUGGGAAAAACCAC